rnacentral:snRNA from 1 species
CUACCUGCUUGACAGCAGAAACAGCAUGAUCACAAAGUUGGUUUCCCCAAGGCAAAUCUUACCCAUUGCACUGCAGUUAUGCGGACUUCUAUGAUUUUCCCAAGUGUGGGAAACUUGACUGUAGAAUUUGUUCUUAU